AGCUUUGUGCAGUGGCAGUAUCAUACCCAGUGAGGUUUAUCUGAGACACGAUUAUUGCUAAUUGAAAAUAGGUUGCUGUAUUUGAGAAGAUAGUGGACAGAUGAGAGAUGUCCAGUAGUGUUCAGCAGCUGUCUUUCCAUCAUUCCUGAGAUUCAAAAAGUUAA
rnacentral:snRNA from 1 species